GACGAACGCUGGCGGCGUGCCUAAUACAUGCAAGUCGAACGCAUUUUCUUUCACCGUAGCUUGCUACACCGAAAGAAAAUGAGUGGCGAACGGGUGAGUAACACGUGGGUAACCUGCCCAUCAGCGGGGGAUAACACUUGGAAACAGGUGCUAAUACCGCAUAAUUCCAUUUACCGCAUGGUAGAUGGAUGAAAGGCGCUUUUGCGUCACUGAUGGAUGGACCCGCGGUGCAUUAGCUAGUUGGUGGGGUAACGGCCUACCAAGGCUGCGAUGCAUAGCCGACCUGAGAGGGUGAUCGGCCACACUGGGACUGAGACACGGCCCAGACGCCUACGGGAGGCAGCAGUAGGGAAUCUUCGGCAAGGGACGCAAGUCUGACCGAGCAACGCCGCGUGAGUGAAGAAGGUUUUCGGAUCGUAAAACUCUGUUGUUAGAGAAGAACAAGGAUGAGAGUGGAAAGUUCAUCCCUUGACGGUAUCUAACCAGAAAGCCACGGCUAACUACGUG
rnacentral:rRNA from 1 species